rnacentral:lncRNA from 1 species
AAACAUUAGUCAGAAUUGUUCUCAGAAGUCUUCGAGUCUUUAGGGCUAUGACUCUGAAGACUCAAGAGAUGCACUUUGAGUGAAGGGGUCUUCCGCUUCCUGUGGCAGGGACUCUCUGUGUUUCAUUUCAGACACCUGGGUUCAGUCAACAAAUGUCUUCCUCAAGGUCAUCAGACAAUAUAGGCAUUUUGGAAGAUGGCUCAAUUUUUACUUGUUUGCCAAUAAGUUAUCACAGCGUCCGGGAGCUUUUGUGGUGGGCAAGGUUCUCCAAGGACAUGAUGCAGGUUGUGGCCUGAGGAAGCUCACAAGUUGCUUGGGGAGACAUGGUCCCACCUCCCGCGAGUAAGCACUAUGGUGUAUUCUGGCAGUAAAGAGCAGGACUCAGACUGCAUGGUUUCCCUUUCUGGCUAUGAUCUUGGCAAGGUAAUUGACGUUUUGUGGAUUAGUUCCCUCAUCUGUGGAAUGGGGAAAUAACAGUAUUUAC